rnacentral:lncRNA from 12 species
UAAACAAUGAGCAAAGAGUAUAGUAAGCAUAGCAGGGGGAUGUAGAUUGGUAGAACUUACCAAAGCUAAGUUAACAUUUACACAGAUUUUCCAACUGCCUGUCAUCUUCUGAGGAGCUGCAAAGCACAUUACAUUAUUCAGUCUACUUUCUAAUUGAGUUUUAAGUAACUUUAUAUUCUCUUCCAGAGUAAUAGGAAAAGCUAUUUUGCUCAAGGUAAGAGAAAGCUUGGUGUCUCUAACAUGGCUUCUUUUCUUUAGGCUUAUGUCAUUCUGUUUAUUUUGGAGUUUUCUGAAUUAAAUGUCAAGGGUCAGUGUCUGUCACUUGACCUGAGAGAAAUGGCAGGGUUUUUUUUAAUGUUUUGCUUUCCGUUUUCCACAGAAAGGAAAGGAUGACAAUAUAUUCGCCUCUUCCUCUUCAGUGUCAGGUCUCACAACGACGCAUGGGAUCGCCGAUACUUCAGAACACUCUUAGGCUCCAUCCUGUCCCUGGGAAGCCUCUACUUCUGAAGGCUGCAGCUGUUAAUACCAGAACUUGAUGAGGAAGAUGCCAGAAUCCCAUCUGGAAUUCACAAAGCCCUGGCCAGCCCACUCACAAAGGUCUGAAUCUCCUUUAAUCC